rnacentral:rRNA from 1 species
ACUCCUACGGGAGGCAGCAGUGGGGAAUAUUGCACAAUGGGCGCAAGCCUGAUGCAGCAACGCCGCGUGAGCGAUGAAGGCCUUCGGGUCGUAAACUCCUUUCGCUAGGGACGAAGCUUUUUGUGACGGUACCUAGAUAAGAAGCACCGGCUAACUACGUGCCAGCAGCCGCGGUAAUACGUAGGGGUGCGAGCGUUGUCCGGAAUUACUGGGGCGUAAAGGGGCUCGUAGGUGGUUUGUCGCGUCGUCUGUGAAAUUCCGGGGCUUAACUCCGGGGCGUGCAGGCGAUACGGGCAUAACUUGAGUACUGUAGGGGUAACUGGAAUUCCUGGUGUAGCGGUGAAAUGCGCAGAUAUCAGGAGGAACACCGAUGGCGAAGGCAGGUUACUGGGCAGUUACUGACGCUGAGGAGCGAAAGC